CUGACAGCCAAAGAGGAACCAUUUCUACUUAGAGAUUGCCUCCUGUGGGAGUUUUCAGCAAGAUCUUAUCUUUGGAAAGGGGUAGAGCGUUGUGCUGAUUUCCUGGUCCCUGUUCUCUUAGGACUCUCCAUACAUCUGCUCAGAAAAUGUGUGGAUGUGGCACAGAGGGACAUGAUUGAUUCAAAGGUUAAGGAGGGAGAAGAGACAUCUGUCAUUCUAAUGGCAGAACAUAACCUUUCAUAUUCCUGUGGCGAUGCUUUAAUGAAAUUUAUCAAAGGGACUUUUCACUGACCUAAAAGCUGCCAAGAACACAAAAGGCCAUAACCACGAAUGUCUCCCUUUUUUUUUCUCUUUUCCCUGAGCUUUCCCUGCUGAGCAGAUGCCACACAGCAUCCCUUUGGUCAGUCUGGGUUCUCUAUAUCCAGGCAAUGUCCCUUCCCAUCCACUUGCCCGCCCCCAGCAUAAUGGCCUUU
ensembl:lncRNA